rnacentral:lncRNA from 1 species
AAGCUAAUGAAUCUUUGAGGACGCUCCAGUCAGCAUCGUCCCUCUGUAUUCCAAAUGACGUACUGGAUCUUCAUGCUGUUGUGGGACCUCUGAAUCACUGUGAGACAGCAGAACACGCCUAUAUCAGCCGUAGCUCCAGAAAGCAUACCUUUCAUCUUUCUUAUUUUCCCCUGUGAUGUAAUCUUCUCUUGCUUUGUGACCACUAAGUUCUUUUCCUCAUUAAUAAGUUUGUAGUAUUAUCUACUGGAAGGACUUUCAUGUCAUUCAGACGUGUGAAAAUGGUCCCCCUGGAUUUUGGCUUG